rnacentral:rRNA from 1 species
GUGGGGAAUCUUGCGCAAUGGCCUAACGGCUGACGCAGCAACGCCGCGUGCGGGAAGAAGGCCCUCGGGUUGUAAACCGCUUUCAGAAGGAACGAAACUGACGGUACUUUCAGAAGAAGGUGCGGCCAACUACGUGCCAGCAGCCGCGGUGACACGUAGGCACCAAGCGUUGUCCGGAUUUAUUGGGCGUAAAGAGCUCGUAGGCGGUUCGGUAAGUCGGAUGUGAAAACUUUGGGCUCAACCCAAAGCGUGCACUCGAUACUGCUGUGACUAGAGUUCGGUAGGGGAGUGGGGAAUUCCUAGUGUAGCGGUGAAAUGCGCAGAUAUUAGGAGGAACACCGGUGGCGAAGGCGCCACUCUGGGCCGAAACUGACGCUGAGGAGCGAAAGCGUGGGUAGCAAA